CUACGGGACGCUGCAGUGAGGAAUAUUGCACAAUGGGGGGAACCCUGAUGCAGCAACGCCGCGUGGAGGAUGACGCAUUUCGGUGUGUAAACUCCUUUUAUAUGUCAAGAAAAUGACGGUAGCAUAUGAAUAAGCACCGGCUAACUCCGUGCCAGCAGCCGCGGUAAUACGGAGGGUGCCAGCGUUACUCGGAAUCACUGGGCGUAAAGGACGCGUAGGCGGGUUGGAAAGUCAGGUGUGAAAUCCUACAGCUUAACUGUAGAACUGCACUUGAAACUUCUAAUCUAGAGUAUGGAGGGGGAGAUGGAAUUAGUGGUGUAGGGGUAAAAUCCGUAGAUAUCACUAGGAAUACCUAAAGCGAAGGCGAUCUCCUGGAACAUUACUGACGCUAAGGCGUGAAAGCGUGGGGAGCAAACAGGAUUAGAUACCCGAGUAGUC
rnacentral:rRNA from 1 species